CCUACGGGAGGCAGCAGUGGGGAAUAUUGGGCAAUGGGCGCAAGCCUGACCCAGCAACGCCGCGUGAAGGAAGAAGGCUUUCGGGUUGUAAACUUCUUUUGUCAGGGAAGAGGAGAAGACGGUACCUGACGAAUAAGCCACGGCUAACUACGUGCCAGCAGCCGCGGUAAUACGUCGGUGGCAAGCGUUGUCCGGAUUUACUGGGUGUAAAGGGCGUGUAGCCGGGUUGACAAGUCAGAUGUGAAAUCCUGCGGCUUAACCGCAGAACUGCAUUUGAAACUGUUGAUCUUGAGUACUGGAGAGGCAGACGGCAUUCCUAGUGUAGCGGUGAAAUGCGUCGAUAUUAGGAGGAACACCAGUGGCGAAGGCGGUCUGCUGGACAGCAACUGCCGGUGAGGCGCGCAAGCGUGGGGAGCAAACAGGAUUAGAUACCCCGGUAGUC
rnacentral:rRNA from 1 species